rnacentral:rRNA from 1 species
UACGUAGGGGGCAAGCGUUAUCCGGAUUUACUGGGUGUAAAGGGUGCGUAGGUGGCAUGGUAAGUUGGAUGUGAAAGCCCAAGGCUCAACCUUGGGAUUGCAUCCAAAACUGCCAAGCUAGAGUGCAGGAGAGGAAAGUGGAAUUCCUAGUGUAGCGGUGAAAUGCGUAGAUAUUAGGAGGAACACCAGUAGCGAAGGCGGCUUUCUGGACUGUAACUGACACUGAGGCACGAAAGCGUGGGUAGCAAACAGG